CUUUGUUACAGCUGUCCCAACAGUAACCAUCACACAGACAUUCUACUCAGUCAAUUCAGGAAGUUCUGUGACCUUGGCAUGUACUGUAUCGUCCACUACAGCUGUAACAAGUGUUUCCUGACAGAGAAUAGUCAAUGGUCAAAUCACUACAAUAACAUCCACUACUAACACCAACAAAUACAGCGGCAGUACUUCAUCUGUUCCUUCACUCACCAUAGUCAAUGCAGAUUCAAGUGAUGCUAGAACAUAUAGAUGUUUGGCUUUAAACAAUGC
rnacentral:lncRNA from 1 species